GUGAAAUCGCGCGCGCUGGCGGCCGUCGUAGACCGUGCAGCUCUCCUUGGGUGGCUGCGAGUGCCUUGGCCGUGGGCCCUGUGCGCGGCCAGCCCCGGCGGCGGGAGGGCGAUAAUUGCCCAGAGACGCAGCACUUACCUGGGCCGGUUGUGCAAGGCGCGCGGGGGGAGGCCCCGGGCGGCGGCUCUCACGCCUCAGCGGCCAGGCAUGCGCGGGGGCGAGGGCGGGCCAGGGUCCCGGGGAGCGCCUCCAGCGGUUCCCGUUGCGGACGCCGCCCCAUUCUUCAGGAAAGAGCCGCCGCCCGUCACCGCUGGGGAUGGGGAGACCCGCGCUCCCAUCCCGCUUGGCCACCUGCUGGGGUGAGUGGCGUCGGUCUAGUUCCACACGUGCCUCUGAACCCCAAGCGCCUCCUCUGUGUACUAGGGGUAAAAACGCCACCUCUCUGAUCCUCUGGUUGAGAGGAUUAGAAAUGAUGCAGGUGAGGCCUGGAACACUGCCAGACACACAUUAGGUACAUGGAAUGGUGGCCUCGAUGCCCACAGACUGCCAGUCAAAACUAGGGUUAAAGUUGUGUCUCCCACUGACUUGCUGGUGACUUUGGGAUGUUUACCUCCCCUCUCUGGUCUUCAGUUUCCUCUUCAGAAAUUGGAGUUUGAUGCUCACCUUCAUCGUGGGCCAGGAUGAUGGCCUGUGCUAGCCGUCCUUGAAAAGGCGAGGCCGGGCUGAGGGUGCACUGGGUUUAGACAUAGCAAGUGUCUCCUGUCACUUGUGCCUAGUUCCUGGGGCCAUGGUCCUUGGAGCUGCUGCAGGAGAAUCGCUUGAACUCAGGAGGCAGAGGUUGAAGUGAAUCCAGAUUGCGCCACUGCACUCCAACCUGGGCAAUAGAGGGAGACUCCGUCUCAAAAAAAAAAAAAAAAAAAAAAAAAAAAGGAGAAGUUAGAGUAUGAUGGUUCCCACUUCACCAAUCUGUUGGGAGGAUUAAAAUAAUAAGGUGACCCUUGGAAAGUGUGAGGGAUAUACCUGCAUCAGAUUCUCCCAACCACUGUCCUCCUUGCCCUCAGCUUCCGUGACAACAGGCACUCCUGGUUUUCUUCCUACCUCUCUGGCUGCUCCUUCCAGUCUUUUUGCAGGUUCCCACUCACUUACACAUGCCUUAAAAGUCGGUGGGCUUAGGGGUAACCAAUUUAGGCAUCCCUCUCUUGUAGGCAUCCCUCUCUUGUAGGCAUCCCACUCUUCCUUGGGAUGACUUAGUGAUUACAUCCUCUCCAAGACUUCAGGUCCCAGUGUCCUGCGAUUGUAUGAGAUUUUAAUUUUGUUCGUUUUGCUAAUUCAUAUCUUCUGUAUUUGCUCUCAAAUUGUGUGAUUUUUUAAAUAAAUCAUUUUUAAAUAAAAUGUUUAUUGAUUGAUUGGGUAUUUUUAUCCCAACAUGGCUGGGAUCCUUAAGCCUCUUGGAGCUCCUUGGAGGGGCCCGAGAAGCUAGGACAAAAAUGCCUCUCACCUAUAUCCAGUUCGAAUACAUAGCCAUGUCAGUGGGAAGGAAAAACAGUUGCUCCUUUGGUAGAAAUGGCUACUGGAGGAAAUUUGAUUCAUUGAAGAACUUGGCUUGGGAAUUUGCAGACUGGUAGCACUCAUCAAGGCCUUGGAGAUCUUCGGAUUCUACCCCCUCAUCUUGGAAUCAGGAAACUGGAAACCCAAAGAUGAUUGAUUACUGGCCCCACCUGC
rnacentral:lncRNA from 1 species